rnacentral:tRNA from 1 species
GAGGCUUUAGCUUAAUUAAAGUGUCUGAGUUGCAUUCAGAGGAUGCGUGGUAAGGUUACGCAGGUCUUC